rnacentral:rRNA from 2 species
AAUGAACGCUGGCGGCAGGCCUAACACAUGCAAGUCGAACGGAGUUAUAUUGUAGCUUGCUAUGGUAUAACUUANUGGCAGACGGGUGAGUAAUGUAUAGGAAUCUACCUAGUAGUACGGAAUAAUUGUUGGAAACGGCAACUAAUACCGUAUACGCCCUACGGGGGAAAAAUUUAUUGCUAUUAGAUGAGCCUAUAUUAGAUUAGUUAGUUGGUGAGGUAAAGGCUUACCAAGACAAUGAUCUAUAGCUGAUCUGAGAGGAUGAUCAGCCACACUGGAACUGAGAUACGGUCCAGACUCCUACGGGAGG